rnacentral:rRNA from 1 species
AACGCUAGCUACAGGCUUAACACAUGCAAGUCGAGGGGAAACGACAUCGAAAGCUUGCUUUUGAUGGGCGUCGACCGGCGCACGGGUGAGUAACGCGUAUCCAACCUGCCCACCACUUGGGGAUAACCUUGCGAAAGUAAGACUAAUACCCAAUGAUAUCUCUAGAAGACAUCUGAAAGAGAUUAAAGAUUUAUCGGUGAUGGAUGGGGAUGCGUCUGAUUAGCUUGUUGGCGGGGUAACGGCCCACCAAGGCAACGAUCAGUAGGGGUUCUGAGAGGAAGGUCCCCCACAUUGGAACUGAGACACGGUCCAAACUCCUACGGGAGGCAGCAGUGAGGAAUAUUGGUCAAUGGACGAGAGUCUGAACCAGCCAAGUAGCGUGCAGGAAGACGGCCCUAUGGGUUGUAAACUGCUUUUAUAAGGGAAUAAAGUGGGUCACGUGUGACUUUUUGCAUGUACCUUAUGAAUAAGGACCGGCUAAUUCCGUGCCAGCAGCCGCGGUAAUACGGAAGGUCCGGGCGUUAUCCGGAUUUAUUGGGUUUAAAGGGAGCGUAGGCCGGAGAUUAAGCGUGUUGUGAAAUGUAGACGCUCAACGUCUGCACUGCAGCGCGAACUGGUUUCCUUGAGUACGCACAAAGUGGGCGGAAUUCGUGGUGUAGCGGUGAAAUGCUUAGAUAUCACGAAGAACUCCGAUUG